rnacentral:rRNA from 1 species
CCUACGGUGGGCAGCAGUGAGGAAUAUUGGUCAAUGGGCGCGAGCCUGAACCAGCCAAGUAGCGUGAAGGAUGACUGCCCUACGGGUUGUAAACUUCUUUUAUAAAGGAAUAAAGUGAGGCACGUGUGCCUUUUUGUAUGUACUUUAUGAAUAAGGAUCGGCUAACUCCGUGCCAGCAGCCGCGGUAAUACGGAGGAUCCGAGCGUUAUCCGGAUUUAUUGGGUUUAAAGGGAGCGUAGAUGGGUUGUUAAGUCAGUUGUGAAAGUUUGCGGCUCAACCGUAAAAUUGCAAUUGAUACUGGCAGCCUUGAGUACAGUUGAGGUAGGCGGAAUUCGUGGUGUAGCGGUGAAAUGCUUAGAUAUCACACAGAACACCGAUUGUGAAGGCAUCUCACGAAUCCGCGAUUGACGCUGAUGCACGAAAGCGUGGGUAUCAAACAGGAUUAGAUACCCCUGUAGUC